UACGAAGGGUGCAAGCGUUAAUCGGAAUUACUGGGCGUAAAGCGCGCGUAGGUGGUUCAGUAAGUUGGAAGUGAAAUCCCCGGGCUCAACCUGGGAACUGCUUUCAAAACUGCUGAGCUAGAGUACGGUAGAGGGUGGUGGAAUUUCCUGUGUAGCGGUGAAACGCGUAGAUAUAGGAAGGAACACCAGUGGCGAAGGCGACCACCUGGACUGAUACUGACACUGAGGUGCGAAAGCGUGGGGAGCAAACAGG
rnacentral:rRNA from 1 species